rnacentral:rRNA from 1 species
AUUGAACGCUGGCGGCAGGCCUAACACAUGCAAGUCGAGCGGAUGAAGGGAGCUUGCUCCUGGAUUCAGCGGCGGACGGGUGAGUAAUGCCUAGGAAUCUGCCUGGUAGUGGGGGAUAGCGUCCGGAAACGGGCGCUAAUACCGCAUACGUCCUGAGGGAGAAAGUGGGGGAUCUUCGGACCUCACGCUAUCAGAUGAGCCUAGGUCGGAUUAGCUAGUUGGUGGGUAAAGGCCUACCAAGGCGACGAUCCGUAACUGGUCUGAGAGGAUGAUCAGUCACACUGGAACUGAGACACGGUCCAGACUCCUACGGGAGGCAGCAGUGGGGAAUAUUGGACAAUGGGCGAAAGCCUGAUCCAGCCAUGCCGCGUGUGUGAAGAAGGUCUUCGGAUUGUAAAGCACUUUAAGUUGGGAGGAAGGGCAGUAAGUUAAUACCUUGCUGUUUUGACGUUACCAACAGAAUAAGCACCGGCUAACUUCGUG